rnacentral:rRNA from 1 species
UACGAAGGGGGCUAGCGUUGCUCGGAAUCACUGGGCGUAAAGGGUGCGUAGGCGGGUUUUUAAGUCAGGGGUGAAAUCCUGGAGCUCAACUCCAGAACUGCCUUUGAUACUGAAAAUCUUGAGUCCGGGAGAGGUGAGUGGAACUGCGAGUGUAGAGGUGAAAUUCGUAGAUAUUCGCAAGAACACCAGUGGCGAAGGCGGCUCACUGGCCCGAUACUGACGCUGAGGCACGAAAGCGUGGGGAGCAAACAGG